AACUUAAUUUAUGGUGAAUUUAGGGAUGCAAAUGGAUUUGGGCUGAUGGAUCCAUCGGCCCGAUCUGUUUCGAAUAAGUCAGCAAGUGAGAAGUAAAUAUAUAGAAAAAUAUAAUCCAUUUCAUAUUCGCUCUGAUCCACUAAGUAAAUAAAUAAGGAGAUAUAAUACCUCUUUCUUCUUUUACUCCAUUCCAAUCUGUAAAAAAUUCGCUAAAAAUCCGCUUUCGCCCCAACUCAUCCCGAGCGGAACGGUAAGUGAAGGAAAACAAUAGAAUUAAAAUUAAUCCGUCGAAAUCCGUCCCUAAUUGACAAGAAAUGGAACGGAAGAUGAGAGAUCGUUUUGCCGCGGGAUCCAUCCCGUUUGCAUUCCUAGACAAACCAAACAACAAAUUAGGCAUUUAGGGCCAAAAAUUAUUUCAUCCUUCUCUACUUUCAGCACAACUAGCAAGUUCAAAGUAAGUGCGUCUGACCUGAUUUGUGAAAAUGGAAGUGCCUAUUGCAAGUAGAUCCAAAUCCAAUUCUCCAACAAGGAUGUAUGGAAUGCACUCCUAUUAACUUCUAGGAUGCAUAUUUAUUUCGACAUCUAAAUGAUUUGAAAUUUGAUUUACUAAUAGGUGCAUUAUUUUGAGCUAAGUGCACAUUCUAUUUUUUUUGAGAAAAAGGUAGUAAGCUACUCGCUUCAUUCAUUAAGAGAAAAUGAAUUUAGUAUCAGUGGUGAAUACAGCCGGAGCCUCCGAAAAACAAAAAUAAAAAAAAAUAAAAAUAAAAGUAAAAGUAAAAUAAAAUGAAAUACAAAUAUAAAAGAGAGAAAAAAAGAAAGAAAGAAAGAAAGAAAAUA
rnacentral:lncRNA from 1 species